rnacentral:rRNA from 1 species
UGGAUAACCUGUCCUCGGCACCGGGAUAGCCCGGGGAAACCCGGAUUAAUGCCGGAUGGCCCUUCCGACUUUCGAGUCGGUCGGCAAAGGUAGCUUCGGCCUCCGGCCGAGGAUGGGUCCGCGGCGGAUUAGCUUGUUGGUGGGGUAAUGGCCUACCAAGGCUCCGAUCCGUAGCUGGUCUGAGAGGACGAUCAGCCACACUGGGACUGAGACACGGCCCAGACUCCUACGGGAGGCAG